rnacentral:rRNA from 1 species
ACGACCGUACCGCAAACCGACACUGGUGCGCGAGAUGAGUAUUCUAAGGCGCUUGAGAGAACUCAGGAGAAGGAACUCGGCAAAUUGACACCGUAACUUCGGAAGAAGGUGUGCCUUUAGUAGGUGAAGUCCCUCGCGGAUGGAGCCCAAUGAGGUUGCAAAAAAUCGGUGGCUGCGACUGUUUAUUAAAAACACAGCACUCUGCAAACACGAAAGUGGACGUAUAGGGUGUGACGCCUGCCCGGUGCUGGAAGAUUAAAUGAUGGGGUGCAAGCUCUUGAUUGAAGUCCCAGUAAACGGCGGCCGUAACAAUAACGGUCCUAAGGUAGCGAAAUUCCUUGUCGGGUAAGUUCCGACCUGCACGAAUGGCGUAACGAUGGCCACACUGUCUCCUCCUGAGACUCAGCGAAGUUGAAAUGUUUGUGAUGAUGCAAUCUCCCCGCGGAAAGACGGAAAGACCCCAUGAACCUUUACUGUAGCUUUGUAUUGGACUUUGAACAGAUCUGUGUAGGAUAGGUGGGAGGCUUUGAAGCAGGGUCGCUAGAUCUUGUGGAGCCAACGUUGAAAUACCACCCUGGUGUGUUUGAGGUUCUAACCUAGGCCCGUAAUCCGGGUUGGGGACAGUGCAUGGUAGGCAGUUUGACUGGGGCGGUCUCCUCCCAAAGUGUAACGGAGGAGUUCGAAGGUACGCUAGUUACGGUCGGACAUCGUGACGAUAGUGCAAUGGCAUAAGCGUGCUUAACUGCGAGACUGACAAGUCGAGCAGAUGCGAAAGCAGGACAUAGUGAUCCGGUGGUUCUGUAUGGAAGGGCCAUCGCUCAACGGAUAAAAGGUACUCUGGGGAUAACAGGCUGAUACCGCCCAAGAGUUCAUAUCGACGGCGGUGUUUGGCACCUCGAUGUCGGCUCAUCUCAUCCUGGGGCUGUAGCCGGUCCCAAGGGUAUGGCUGUUCGCCAUUUAAAGAGGUACGUGAGCUGGGUUUAAAACGUCGUGAGACAGUUUGGUCCCUAUCUUCCGUGGGCGCUGCAGAUUUGAGGAAGCCUGCUCCUAGUACGAGAGGACCGGAGUGGACGCACCUCUGGUGUAUCGGUUGUCACGCCAGUGGCAUUGCCGAGUAGCUAUGUGCGGAAGAGAUAACCGCUGAAAGCAUCUAAGCGGGAAACUCGUUUCAAGAUGAGAUCUGCCGGGGCCUUGAGCCCCCUGAAGAGUCGUUCAAGACCAGGACGUUGAUAGGUCGGGUGUGGAAGCGCAGUAAUGCGUUAAGCUAACCGAUACUAAUUGCUCGUGCGGCUUGACCAA